rnacentral:rRNA from 1 species
AUUGAACGCUGGCGGCAUGCUUUACACAUGCAAGUCGAACGGUAACAGGCCGCAAGGUGCUGACGAGUGGCGAACGGGUGAGUAAUGCAUCGGAACGUGCCCAGUCGUGGGGGAUAACGCAGCGAAAGCUGCGCUAAUACCGCAUACGAUCUAUGGAUGAAAGCGGGGGGCCGUAAGGCCUCGCGCGAUUGGAGCGGCCGAUGUCAGAGUAGGUAGUUGGGGGGGUAAAGGCUCACCAAGCCAACGAUCUGUAGCUGGUCUGAGAGGACGACCAUCCACACUGGGACUGAGACACGGCCCAGACUCCUACGGGAGGCAGCAGUGGGGAAUUUUGGACAAUGGGCGCAAGCCUGAUCCAGCAAUGCCGCGUGCAGGAAGAAGGCCUUCGGGUUGUAAACUGCUUUUGUACGGAACGAAACGGUCCUGGUUAAUACCUGGGGCUAAUGACGGUACCGUAAGAAUAAGCACCGGCUAACUACGUGCCAGCCGCCGCUGUAAAAC